GAGUUUGAUCCUGGCUCAGGAUGAACGCUGGCGGCGUGCUUAACACAUGCAAGUCGAACGGGAAACCUUUUAUUGAAGCUUCGGCAGAUUUAGAUUGUUUCUAGUGGCGGACGGGUGAGUAACGCGUGGGUAACCUGCCUUAUACAGGGGGAUAACAGUCAGAAAUGACUGCUAAUACCGCAUAAGCGCACAGAGCUGCAUGGCUCGGUGUGAAAAACUCCGGUGGUAUAAGAUGGACCCGCGUUGGAUUAGCUAGUUGGUGAGGUAACGGCCCACCAAGGCGACGAUCCAUAGCCGGCCUGAGAGGGUGAACGGCCACAUUGGGACUGAGACACGGCCCAGACUCCUACGGGAGGCAGCAGUGGGGAAUAUUGCACAAUGGGGGAAACCCUGAUGCAGCGACGCCGCGUGAAGGAAGAAGUAUCUCGGUAUGUAAACUUCUAUCAGCAGGGAAGAUAGUGACGGUACCUGACUAAGAAGCCCCGGCUAACUACGUGCCAGCCGCCGCGGUAAUUC
rnacentral:rRNA from 1 species